rnacentral:rRNA from 1 species
AUUCCAGCUCCAAUAGCGUAUAUUAAAGUUGUUGCAGUUAAAAAGCUCGUAGUUGAACUUCUGGCUAUUCUUCCAGCUGGCUUCGGUCGCUGUAAGAGUGGUCAUCCGCUUGGGAACUACGUUCGAACUUCACUGUUCGGCGUAAGGAACAGGCAUUUUACUUAGAAAAAAUUAGAGUGUUCAAGGCAGGCUAUCGCCCUGAAUACACAAGCUUGGAAUAAUGAAAUAGGACUAUUUCCAUUUUAUUGGUUAUUGGAAUUAGUAAUGAUUAAUAGGGACAGUUGGGGACAUUAGUAUUUAAUUGUCAGAGGUGAAAUUCUUGGAUUUAUUAAAGACUAACUUAUGCGAAAGCAUUUGUCAAGGAUGUUUUCAUCG